rnacentral:rRNA from 1 species
AGUGAACGCUGGCGGUAGGCCUAACACAUGCAAGUCGAGCGGCAGCACAGUAAGAGCUUGCUCUUACGGUUGGCGAGUGGCGGACGGGUGAGGAAUACAUCGGAAUCUACUUUUUCGUGGGGGAUAACGUAGGGAAACUUACGCUAAUACCGCAUACGACCUACGGGUGAAAGCAGGGGAUCUUCGGACCUUGCGCGAUUGAAUUAGCCGAUGUCGGAUUAGCUAGUUGGCGGGGUAAAGGCCCACCAAGGCGACGAUCCGUAGCUGGUCUGAGAGGAUGAUCAGCCACACUGGAACUGAGACACGGUCCAGACUCCUACGGGAGGCAGCAGUGGGGAAUAUUGGACAAUGGGCGCAAGCCUGAUCCAGCCAUACCGCGUGGGUGAAGAAGGCCUUCGGGUUGUAAAGCCCUUUUGUUGGGAAAGAAAAGCAGCAGGUUAAUACCCCGCUGUUCUGACGGUACCCAAAGAAUAAGCACCGGCUAACUUCGUG